UACGUAGGGUGCAAGCGUUAUCCGGAAUUACUGGGCGUAAAGGGUGCGUAGGCGGUUGUUUAAGUCUGUUGUGAAAUCCCCGGGCUCAACCUGGGAAUGGCGAUGGAUACUGGGCAGCUAGAGUGUGUCAGAGGAUGGUGGAAUUCCCGGUGUAGCGGUGAAAUGCGUAGAUAUCGGAAGGAACACCUGUGGCGAAAGCGGCGCACUGGACCAUAACUGACGCUGAGGCGCGAAAGCGAGGGGAGCAAACAGG
rnacentral:rRNA from 1 species